rnacentral:lncRNA from 1 species
AUCUUCUCAGUCUGUGCCUCCAUUCUUUUUCUGAAAUCAUGGAUUUUCUUUACUAUCAUUACUCUGAAUUAUUUUUUAGAUAGAUUGCCCAACUCUAUUUCACUUAAUUGUACUUCUUGGGAUUUUAUCUUGUUCCUUCAUCUAGAAUAUAUUUCUCUGCCAUUUCAUUUUAUCUAAUUUUCUGUGUUUGAGUAAUUUUAGGCAUGAGGUGGCUGUGGGAUCAGGGUGACUUUAGUCAAUCUUGUCUGCUGAUGAGGGUGGGACUUUGUUUCCACUCUGUUGGUUUUUUGGCCUGAGGUGGCUCAGUCCUGGAGCCUAUGGGUCUUUUGGGUGGGGCCAGGUCUUGGUUCCAAAAUGGUAACCUCUGGUAGAGUUCAUGUUAAUCAACAGUCCUUGGGGCCUCUGCCACUAGUGUCCUUGCCCCCACAGUGAACCACAGCCAACCCUUGCCUCCCCAGAAGGCCCUCCAAGACCUGCAGGGAGGUCUGGCCCAGACUCCUGUGGCUUCAUUGCUUUCCCCUAGGUCUUUAUGCACAUGGAAACUUGUAUGUGCCCUCCAAGAAUGGAUUCUCUGUUUCCCCAAUUACUGUGGUACUCCAAUGCUCAAGCCCUGCUGGUCUUCAAAGCCAAAUGCUCUGGGGGUUUCUCCUUCUGAUGUGGACCCCCAGGCUGGGGAACCUGAUAUGGGGCUUAGAACUCUCACUUUGUGGGAGAACCUCUGCAAUAUGAUUGUUUUCCAGUUUGUGGGUUGCCCACCCAGAGAGUAAGGGAUUUGAUUAUAUUACAAAACACUCCUUGUACCAUCUCUUUGUGGCUCCUUCUUAUCUUUAGGUGUAGAAUUUUUUUGUUUGUUUGGAACACAGAUUUGUGAUAGCUCCAAAAUCCCUACAUUGUAAUCUUCAUACAAGUUAAUGUAUGCAUUCCUCUCUCAUUAUCCUAUCUAUGAUUCACUCCUUAAUUCAAUUACUAUAUGAUUUCUAUGUAAUAUUUUGACUUGUUUCUUUUCAUUUGUUUGUCUUAUGACUUAUUGCUAAUAAUAUUUUCCUAUAUCCAUAAGGAUAUUUAUUAUUUAUCAUGCUUAUUAAAUUUUUUGAACUGUCUUUUCCAACAACUUCAUUUCAUAUCAUCCGUAACCUGUAGUCUGUUGUAUUUCUCAUGUGACAGUCACACCAGUGUGUAGUUAUGUGGGUAUGUGUGCUCAUGUUGCCAUGGUUAGCAGAUACUCUGUAGUUCUAUUUGGUACAGUGCAUCAGAGAGGGGCCAAGGUCCUGGGGAGGGGGGUUUCAAGAAGAAGGGAGACUGUUCCCAGAGCAGAGGGCUUCAGGCACAAAGGGCCCCUCUUAACCUCUCUUUCAUACUGACCCCAUUGGAUAGCUCCUUUAGUUGGGUUACGACUUUAAAGCCUUAGAAGAAAUCACAGAGGAAGGAAGGAUCAAGUCUCCCUAAUAGCAAUCCCUCUGCCCUUGGGGGUAAAAUCAGGGGGAUGGAGGACAAAUACUCGAAGGUAGCUGGUGGGACCUACACACCAGUUGCCACAGCCACCCUAAUACACUCACACCAGAGAAGGAUUAGGCAUCAUCUAUAAUGAGGAUGUAGCGUGGGAAAAGGGAAGAGUAAGACAUGUAAAAGACUUCUUCAAGCCCACCAUCUCACUGCCCUCCCUUCUUUCCCUAGCUACAGACCACUCUAGGUUCUCUGGGUUUUCUUACUGAUUUUGGUUUCUGAAAUCUAUAUUUUCUUGUCACCUCCCAAGUUCAUCCAGUGUUGAUUCUGGAGUGGGAGCCAGCAGCCUAUGGGGAACUCCCAACAGCAGGUCUGGUGAAACCCACUGCAGAUGGCACUCCCAGCCUGUCCCCCAGCCCCAGACACACUGAACCUGCAGAUCUGCUCUGCACUCUCACCUUGAUCUUGUUAUUUGGGAUCUCUGCUUGACACUGACGAGAGGUAAUUCUGGGCCACAUUUGGGACAGGUUAGUCCUGAGAAAGGGAGUCAGGCAGAGCCUGGGGAGUAUUUGAGGGGUCUGCUCUAGAGAGGAGAAGAGAGGUUUUGAGCACUCCAGAGAUGUCUGGGCUGGAAUUCCUAUUCCACUAUUGACCAUAUGGACCUCAGACAGGUUACUUAUCCAGGCUAGGCCUUGUGUCCAGAUCUUUAAAAAGAGACUAAACCUGGAUAAUGAUACUAGGCCUUUAAGCUGAUUCCAGUUAAUAAAGAGGUGAGCUGGAGUUAGAGCUCUGAUUUGUUAGAUCUGCAGAGUAUUUGGGAAAUGUAUUUCUAUCUACUGAGUUGGCAGCCCAGGGAACUUCACAGAAAAGCAAGCAAUCAUAUCCGU